rnacentral:lncRNA from 1 species
UAUUAAAAUUACAAAAGGUUGCAGCAUAUGUUGUGUAAAUGGUGAACUCAUACAGCUGUCAACUCUUGUCAUUUUAAUCCGUUUCACAUUUGCUAGCUACCUUUUAGAUCGAAGCCCAAAUAGAAUGAUAGAAGAUAAGAUGAUAGAAGCCCAUCUCCUACUGUAAAUAACCUACACACUGUGUGUGUGUGUGUAGCCAGCCAGCCAGGUAGGAAAAUGGCAGAAAAAUAAAAGACGGACAUCAGAGUAUUUUUCAAUACACCAAAACGCAAAGCAGAGCAGGCAACAGAUGGCACACAGACAGCAGAGUUGGGGACAGAUAUGCAGGGACAGACUGGCAGAGACAGUGAGUCUCAGAUGGUCGCAUGCGGUUGGACACAUGGAGGAGAGAAUCAUUUUCGCAGUAUCCUCAAAACCGUGUCUUUUUGACACAACUGCUGACAGCUACAGGGACAUAAACACAAAAAAUCCUGCUUGGAGACAAGUGUCCACGAUAGUAGGAUUGCCAGGCGUUCAACUGGGCUGAUGGACUCCCGGUAGUUGGUAUCCAUCCGGAUGAUCCUGGCUCCAACCAUCUGAAGCAGGUGAUCGAACUGGCUUCGGUCCAGACGAAAGUAACUUCGGAAUUCCUCUCCAAGCAGUCGAAGCUCUUGAAUGAGACGGUGGAACUCCUCUGCCUGCUUUCGGGACUUUAACCAUCUCUGGACCCAUACAGACCUGCGCUUUCGGCGGGGCUGAUCCCGGCCCAACAGCGCGAUCAAGACCACCUUCCUCAACGUUGGUCUCAUUGUUGAAAGAGCCGACUCUGCUAUCUUGACUAUUAUGCAUUUUGCUCCAAAGCUGCAUUUUGGAGGGAAAUUAUAUUAUAGGCUCUCACAAUUAAUUUGUGGAUGUCAUCGAAUAAAUAAUAUACUUGGCAAAUAAAUGAAUAAAAAAAUGUAAAGAAA